GACAGAGGGGGCGAGCGUUGCUCGGAAUUACUGGGCGUAAAGGGCGCGUAGGCGGGAUGGCAAGUCGGUCGUGAAAUCCCUCGGCUCAACCGAGGAACGUCGAUCGAUACUGCUGUUCUUGAGGAUUGCAGAGGAGACUGGAAUUCCCGGUGUAGCGGUGAAAUGUGUAGAGAUCGGGAGGAACACCGGUGGCGAAGGCGGGUCUCUGGGCAAUUCCUGACGCUGAGGCGCGAAAGCGUGGGGAGCAAACGGG
rnacentral:rRNA from 1 species